AAUACAAUUCACCCAUAUUUGGAUGAAAAAUGGAACAUAACUGAAUCCGUCAGAAUUGACAAGUUGUUUGCAGAACAUAACUGAUCUCGUUAUAAAGAUUCCAACGCAUUUGCCUCCGAUACCGUUGUAAAAUUCCUUGCACGUAGCCCGAAGCCCUGAGACUCAUAUUUAUUCUAUUCGCUGUUUUCCGAUCCUGCUGCUGUGGCUUCCGGACUGAUUAUUUUCAUUUGUCGGAACUAAGCAUGCGGCGGAUAACCAAUUGUUUCGCCCAACUGAUCAGAUAUUGGCGGGUCCGGAGAAAGCUGAUGACCUUUCCCAGAGGCAACCGAAAACAUGAGCGUUGGAGGAAAAACCUAAAAGAAGUCAUUCAAGGAGUCAUCGAGAAUUCGCGAGAUGAAACCGAUGAAACAUGAACGUUUGCGCGAAAAAGUGAAAGCAAAGGCUUCUAUGCUGCUAUUCCUUUUCGUAUCGAGCGCUGGUUUUCUUUGCAGCUAUGCGAUGCCAAAGUAGCUUCCGGAUCGUUGAUCUUGAUUUAAAGAUACAGUACCUGUGACGACGGAUCGUUUGUUUCCUCGUACUUCUAUCAUCUUAUAGCUGCCAUGUUACGGGAUUAUACACCGUCAAAUUUCCAUGGAAUCCGUGAUCCGGUGCCUGCUGCGAUUAACCAAUUCGAC